rnacentral:rRNA from 1 species
AUUGAACGCUGGCGGCAGGCCUCACACAUGCAAGUCGAGCGAGCGGCGGACGGGUGAGUAAUGUCUGGGAAACUGCCUGGUGGAUGGAGAUAACUAGUGGAAACGGUAACUUAUACCGCACACCAUCAGAUGUGCCCAGAUGGUAAUAGCUAGUAGGUGGGGUAAUGGAUCACCUAGGCGACGAGCCCUAACUGGUCUGAGAGGAUGACCAGCCACACGGGAACUGAGACACGGUCCAGACUCCUACGGGAGGCAGCAGUGGGGAAUAUUGCACAAUGGGCGCAAGCCUGAUGCAGCCAUGCCGCGUGUGUGAAGAAGGCCUUCGGGUUGUAAAGCACUUUCAGCGAGGAGGCGUUACUCGCAGAAUAAGCACCGGCUAACUCCGUGCCAGCAGCCGCGGUAAUAC